rnacentral:rRNA from 1 species
UACGGAGGGGACUAGCGUUGUUCGGAAUUACUGGGCGUAAAGCGCACGUAGGCGGAUUUGUAAGUCAGGGGUGAAAUCCCGAGGCUCAAUCUCGGAACUGCCUUUGAUACUGCAAAUCUCGAGUCCGGAAGAGGUGAGUGGAAUUCCUAGUGUAGAGGUGAAAUUCGUAGAUAUUAGGAAGAACACCAGUGGCGAAGGCGGCUCACUGGUCCGGUACUGACGCUGAGGUGCGAAAGCGUGGGGAGCAAACAGG